UUGGCAAGUGGCUUUCUAUAACAUUUUUGAGUAAAUUCAAAUAUUUUUACUUGUUUCCAUCACUAGGUUAUGGGCACCACAUGACCAAUGUAAAUGGCGCGCCCUAAAGCCCAAAUCAUCAUCAUCGUCAUCGUACUUGUCUCCAUCUCCUACCUAUCUCACUACCGUCAUGGAGCCGCACCUUGGCUAUUUGAUGUAACCACUUCAUAAACAGCCUGGCAGCCAAGAGGAACAGGCUUAGGACCAAUGUUGUGCCCUCUCUGCAGCACAGGGAAGGUGUUCCAGGCACCCCAGUGCUUCCUGGAGCUACACCAUCAUGAAGACCAGAAUCUGGAAUCUCACAGGCUACGAAGGAGCCAGCCGACGCUACAUGGACCCUGAGCGCCUUCACACCCGGCGGCAGCCAGGGCUCGGUGCCGACUCCCGACCAUGCAACCACUUUGGGCGCAGCUGUGGAGCUCGAGCAGAUGUACGAUGACGAGAUUAGUAGUGAACUUGCGCUACGUCAUGUCACUCAGCUUGACGCGUGAAUGCACCGUUUGGCCACAACAUGGUAAUGUUGUAGACGCAUGUAGAAGUCCUCACUUUGUUCCAUAUUGUUUGGCUGUGGUAUGAGAAGAUUGUAGGCUCCCAUGACGGGGCGUUAACCCCAACGUAUGUGCCUCUGUACUGGGUGGGUCCGCAUCAUAUUGUCCAAGGUACAGAAUGUCCAAAGGUACAGAAUAUCCAAAGUACAGAAUGUCCAAGUUACAGAA